rnacentral:misc_RNA from 1 species
AUCUAUAUCUAAUUAAUAUACCUAAAAAUAAUAAAAAAAAUAAAACCAAAUUAAAAAACACUCUACAAAAUAUUAUCCAAAAAAACUUCCCCAAUCUAACAAAACAAACCAACGUUCAAAUUCAAAAAAUACAAAAAACACCACAAAAAUACUCCUCAAAAAAAACAACUCCAAAACACAUAAUUAUCAAAUUCACCAAAAUUAAAAUAA